rnacentral:rRNA from 1 species
UGGGGAAUCUUGGACAAUGGGGGCAACCCUGAUCCAGCCAUGCCGCGUGAGUGAUGAAGGCCUUAGGGUCGUAAAGCUCUUUCGCCUGUGAAGAUAAUGACGGUAGCAGGUAAAGAAACCCCGGCUAACUCCGUGCCAGCAGCCGCGGUAAUACGGAGGGGGUUAGCGUUGUUCGGAAUUACUGGGCGUAAAGCGCACGUAGGCGGACCAGAAAGUUGGGGGUGAAAUCCCGGGGGCUCAACCCCGGAACUGCCUCCAAAACUAUUGGUCUAGAGUUCGAGAGAGGUGAGUGGAAUUCCAAGUGUAGAGGUGAAAUUCGUAGAUAUUUGGAGGAACACCAGUGGCGAAGGCGGCUCACUGGCUCGAUACUGACGCUGAGGGUGCGAAAAGUGUGGGGAGCAAAACAGGAUUAGAUACCCUGGUAGUCCACACCGUAAAACGAUGAAUGCCAGUCGUCGGGUAGCAUGCUAUUCGGUGACACACCUAACGGAUUAAGCAUUCCGCCUGGGGAGUACGGUCGCAAGAUUAAAACUC